GCCAACGUGGCGUAGUGGUUUGAAUGUUGGACUAGGACUCUGGAGACCAGGAUUCGAUUCCCAGCCUGGCCG